rnacentral:rRNA from 1 species
GAUGAACGCUGGCGGCGUGCCUAAUACAUGCAAGUCGAGCGAACAGACGAGGAGCUUGCUCCUCUGACGUUAGCGGCGGACGGGUGAGUAACACGUGGAUAACCUACCUAUAAGACUGGGAUAACUUCGGGAAACCGGAGCUAAUACCGGAUAAUAUAUUGAACCGCAUGGUUCAAUAGUGAAAGACGGUUUUGCUGUCACUUAUAGAUGGAUCCGCGCCGCAUUAGCUAGUUGGUAAGGUAACGGCUUACCAAGGCGACGAUGCGUAGCCGACCUGAGAGGGUGAUCGGCCACACUGGAACUGAGACACGGUCCAGAGUCCUACGGGAGGCAGCAGUAGGGAAUCUUCCGCAAUGGGCGAAAGCCUGACGGAGCAACGCCGAGUGAGUGAUGAAGGUCUUCGGAUCGUAAAACUCUGUUAUUAGGGAAGAACAAAUGUGUAAGUAACUAUGCACGUCUUGACGGUACCUAAUCAGAAAGCCACGGCUAACUACGUG